CCAGAGCAGAUACGCUAUCAUUUCUGCUAUAUUCUGUUUGCCCAAACAAGUCUUGUGAUGGUGGUGGUGGUUGAGUUGCUCAGUCGUGUCCAACUCUUGUGACCCCAUGGACUGUAGCCUGCCAGGCUCCUCUGUCCGUGGGGUUCUCCAGGCAAGAAUACUGGAGUGGGUUGCCACCUCAUGGCCAAUCCCAAAGUCAGAAGAAAGAAAACAUACUGGAUCCUUUUAGUAAAGGAGGAGCUACAAAGUCACAUGGCAAAAGGCACCUAUAAAAGGAAAGGUGAAGCACGGUGGGCCCAGAUGCGAGUUGUUGCAGCAUCGCAGAGUAAUCUCUGCUUGAGGAGAGAAGACUGAAGACUUGUUUGACUCCAAACCAGGAAGCUGAAGGAUUUAUGAACCAGGUACUGGUGGGUGGAAGAGGAGAAUGCAAACACAGAUCCCUACUCAUGUGACAGCUGCCACCCUCCUGACUGCCUCCCAGGGCACUGCGCAGGCCCACUGUUCCAGCACUUUAUCCACAGCGUCAAUGCGGAUGGAUGGAACCUCACUUAAGAGCGGUGCCCUGAGGCACUAGUAAUUCCCUGAGAGUCUACGCUCUCCACUUGAACCCUAGAAGUUCUGGCCCUACUCAAGCCUCUCUUUGGACCACAGUUGAACAAUGAAACUAUCUGGUACCACAAGCAUCGUUGGCCUUCAGACACAAGAUAUUCUCUCCAGUGCCCAGUGAUUGAGGUGAUAAAGAAAAUUCCUCUAGGUGCAAAAUUGUCUCCAUAGCCAGACCACCUUCUUUGACUCACCUUUUUGGCUACCAGCUGCCUUAAAUGAUUACGCCACCUUUGAACAUUAUUCUACAAUGUGGUAUUUUUUUUCCUGCCACUUUUUGUACUUUUGAGUUAUGUGCCUAUUCAGCCUAAACUGUUCUGACUCCAUGAAAUGUUUAUGUACUCCUCUGAGAUUAAAAAAAAAAAAAAAAAAGAGUGCGGUUCUGAGAAAUACAUCACUUUCUCCCUGGAACCUGUGGAUGUGAAGAUGGCUCCUGUCUCCUUACAACUUGGGAAUCAGAGAAGUGUUUGAGAACUGUUAAUAAGACAAUGAGACUCUGGAAGGAGGGGACAGUCAAUAUGAGGGCAAGUUCAUAGGGAAGAUCCAUCCCAACAGAUUAUACCAAAAUGCAUUUCCAGGAUGAAUUUCUUAUUUCUGCCAUCUUUUGUAAUAAAUUAUUUUUCUUUUUCUAUGGAAAAAAAGUCUGAAAAAUUUAUUCUGUGCCUCUCUAUAUUCUACUUAAUCACAUAAAACUAUAUGAUAGGAGAAAAUAGUAUUUUCUUCUCUAUAUUGAGAAGUUUGAUAAUCAAUUAUGCUGCUUCUCUCUUUUCACUGAUAGAAACCCGAGUGCUAAUUCAGUAUUCAAAUCUAAGCAUAUGGUAUUUAUGGUCAUAAAUAAGACCAAACACAUGUAUCAUCAGCACACUAUUUUUCCCCUUUAUUGAUUUUCUAAUUAUAUUCAAACAUCCCAUGUUCUGAUUUUUAUUUUAAUUUUCUUCCCCUGAGCUUAUUGUGUGACUUUAUUUUUGUAAGAUCUUUCAAAUUCUUUGCAGAUUAAUGUGGGAAUAUAUAAAGUAUAAAUAUCCAUCAAUCAGUGUUUAUUUCUGAAAAUGUACCCAUGUAUAUUUGAUUUCUGAGAUUGCUAAGAAUGUAUCAGUGUAUAUUUUCUGUAUCAAUGGAUAAGAAGAACAUCUAAGCUUUGGGGGUUUUGUUUCUCUGCUCUGUCCAUGUUUUUUCCUCCUUGAACCUGCCAGUGAAGUGUAUACAAAGUGCUUUUCUCGAGCAGGUUCUGUUUAAUGUAGCUACUGAUGUUUGAGAUAUGAGAACUCUCACAGGGAGAAAUAAAAACUAGCAAUAUAGCAUAUAGCAUUUAGAAAA